GAUGAACGCUGGCGGCGUGCCUAAUACAUGCAAGUCGAGCGUACAGACGAGGAGCUUGCUCCUCUGACGUUAGCGGCGGACGGGUGAGUAACACGUGGAUAACCUACCUAUAAGACUGGGAUAACUUCGGGAAACCGGAGCUAAUACCGGAUAACAUGUUGAACCGCAUGGUUCAACAGUGAAAGACGGUCUUGCUGUCACUUAUAGAUGGAUCCGCGCCGCAUUAGCUAGUUGGUAAGGUAACGGCUUACCAAGGCAACGAUGCGUAGCCGACCUGAGAGGGUGAUCGGCCACACUGGAACUGAGACACGGUCCAGACUCCUACGGGAGGCAGCAGUAGGGAAUCUUCCGCAAUGGGCGAAAGCCUGACGGAGCAACGCCGCGUGAGUGAAGAAGGUCUUCGGAUCGUAAAACUCUGUUAUUAGGGAAGAACAAAUGUGUAAGUAACUAUGCACGUCUUGACGGUACCUAAUCAGAAAGCCACGGCUAACUACGU
rnacentral:rRNA from 1 species